GAUGAACGCUGGCGGCGUGCCUAAUACAUGCAAGUCGAGCGAACGGACGAGAAGCUUGCUUCUCUGAUGUUAGCGGCGGACGGGUGAGUAACACGUGGAUAACCUACCUAUAAGACUGGGAUAACUUCGGGAAACCGGAGCUAAUACCGGAUAAUAUUUUGAACCGCAUGGUUCAAAAGUGAAAGACGGUCUUGCUGUCACUUAUAGAUGGAUCCGCGCUGCAUUAGCUAGUUGGUAAGGUAACGGCUUACCAAGGCAACGAUGCAUAGCCGACCUGAGAGGGUGAUCGGCCACACUGGAACUGAGACACGGUCCAGACUCCUACGGGAGGCAGCAGUAGGGAAUCUUCCGCAAUGGGCGAAAGCCUGACGGAGCAACGCCGCGUGAGUGAUGAAGGUCUUCGGAUCGUAAAACUCUGUUAUUAGGGAAGAACAUAUGUGUAAGUAACUGUGCACAUCUUGACGGUACCUAAUCAGAAAGCCACGGCUAACUACGUGCCAGCAGCCGCGGUAAUACGUAGGUGGCAAGCGUUAUCCGGAAUUAUUGGGCGUAAAGCGCGCGUAGGCGGUUUUUUAAGUCUGAUGUGAAAGCCCACGGCUCAACCGUGGAGGGUCAUUGGAAACUGGAAAACUUGAGUGCAGAAGAGGAAAGUGGAAUUCCAUGUGUAGCGGUGAAAUGCGCAGAGAUAUGGAGGAACACCAGUGGCGAAGGCGACUUUCUGGUCUGUAACUGACGCUGAUGUGCGAAAGCGUGGGGAUCAAACAGGAUUAGAUACCCUGGUAGUCCACGCCGUAAACGAUGGGUGCUAAGUGUUAGGGGGUUUCCGCCCCUUAGUGCUGCAGCUAACGCAUUAAGCACUCCGCCUGGGGAGUACGACCGCAAGGUUGAAACUCAAAGGAAUUGACGGGGACCCGCACAAGCGGUGGAGCAUGUGGUUUAAUUCGAAGCAACGCGAAGAACCUUACCAAAUCUUGACAUCCUUUGACAACUCUAGAGAUAGAGCCUUCCCCUUCGGGGGACAAAGUGACAGGUGGUGCAUGGUUGUCGUCAGCUCGUGUCGUGAGAUGUUGGGUUAAGUCCCGCAACGAGCGCAACCCUUAAGCUUAGUUGCCAUCAUUAAGUUGGGCACUCUAAGUUGACUGCCGGUGACAAACCGGAGGAAGGUGGGGAUGACGUCAAAUCAUCAUGCCCCUUAUGAUUUGGGCUACACACGUGCUACAAUGGACAAUACAAAGGGCAGCGAAACCGCGAGGUCAAGCAAAUCCCAUAAAGUUGUUCUCAGUUCGGAUUGUAGUCUGCAACUCGACUACAUGAAGCUGGAAUCACUAGUAAUCGUAGAUCAGCAUGCUACGGUGAAUACGUUCCCGGGUCU
rnacentral:rRNA from 1 species